rnacentral:rRNA from 2 species
AACGAACGCUGGCGGCAGGCUUAACACAUGCAAGUCGAACGCUCGCAGCAAUGCGGGAGUGGCAGACGGGUGAGUAACGCGUGGGAACAUACCCUUUGGUUCGGAAUAACUGAGAGAAAUUUCAGCUAAUACCGGAUGUGCCCUUCGGGGGAAAGAUUUAUCGCCAAAGGAUUGGCCCGCGUCUGAUUAGCUAGUUGGUGAGGUAACGGCUCACCAAGGCGACGAUCAGUAGCUGGUCUGAGAGGAUGAUCAGCCACACUGGGACUGAGACACGGCCCAGACUCCUACGGGAGGCAGCAGUGGGGAAUAUUGGACAAUGGGGGCAACCCUGAUCCAGCCAUGCCGCGUGAGUGAUGAAGGCCCUAGGGUUGUAAAGCUCUUUCACCGGUGAAGAUAAUGACGGUAACCGGAGAAGAAGCCCCGGCUAACUUCGUG